rnacentral:rRNA from 1 species
UACGGAGGGUGCAAGCGUUACUCGGAAUCACUGGGCGUAAAGGGCGCGUAGGCGGCCUAGCAAGUCUGGUGUGAAAGCCCAGGGCUCAACCCUGGAAGGGCCCUGGAAACUGUUAGGCUUGACUUCCGAAGAGGAGGGGGGAAUUCCCGGUGGAGCGGUGAAAUGCGUAGAUAUCGGGAGGAAUACCGGUGGCGAAGGCGCCCCUCUGGACGGAAACUGACGCUGAGGCGCGAAAGCGUGGGGAGCAAACAGG